CCUACGGGAGGCAGCAGUAGGGAAUCUUCCACAAUGGGCGCAAGCCUGAUGGAGCAACACCGCGUGAGUGAAGAAGGGUUUCGGCUCGUAAAGCUCUGUUGUUGGAGAAGAACGUGCGUGAGAGUAACUGUUCACGCAGUGACGGUAUCCAACCAGAAAGUCACGGCUAACUACGUGCCAGCAGCCGCGGUAAUACGUAGGUGGCAAGCGUUAUCCGGAUUUAUUGGGCGUAAAGCGAGCGCAGGCGGUUGCUUAGGUCUGAUGUGAAAGCCUUCGGCUUAACCGAAGAAGUGCAUCGGAAACCGGGGAACUUGAGUGCAGAAGAGGCCAGUGGAACUCGAUGUGUAGCGGUGGAAUGCGUAGAUAUAUGGAAGAACACCAGUGGCGAAGGCGGCUGUCUGGUCUGCAACUGACGCUGAGGCUCGAAAGCAUGGGUAGCGAACAGGAUUAGAUACCCGUGUAGUC
rnacentral:rRNA from 1 species